AAUCAGAUGGAGGAGCGGUAUGGUGAACAUUAUGCCCAGAAAGUAGAAGACCGGCUGCUGCACUAUCUACACGAGUUGGAGACUGUGUUACCAGGAGAUACCUACAUUGAUAAGAUACUGAAGAAAGACAGUCCUGUGACUGAAGAGGAAAAGCUAUUGUUGGAAGUAAUUACCUCUGACUCCACGACCAUAGCAACAACUCUAAAGAAACUGCUGCACUGUGAUGUUGCCUCCUGUCGUCUGUGCAGGGUUUCUCAGUCAUCAGAACAUGGAAAGAAGGGCAUGGAAAGCUCUCAACUCUCAAGGUCUGUUCUGCAGGGCAACUCUUCAAAGGCUCUACUCAAGUCAGUGGAAGCAAAAACUCCAUUUGAGUUUCAGCCAGAUGUUUUAAGGUUAGGAGAGGAGGCUGAACAAGAUGUGUCCAAGGACAGCCCUUUUUUAUUGGAGACUGACAAUAAUUCAGAUGUUAGGAGACAUCAAGGAACAGAGGAGGAUGGUGAGGUAGUCAAGAGGGUGAAGGAAGAGAGCAGUGACAAGGAAAAGGCAGACAUCAGUCAGAGAAGCAGUGAAGGUGUUCAGGAGGUCACUUCCUCUCCUCAGUUCUGCUCUAAACACCAGCGAUGGGUGAAGAGCAUCCUGCAGGAGUGUCCCGACGAGUGCUCCGAAGAGUUGCUGCUUCAAGCUAAUGUUUCUUCAUCUCCCCCGUUGUUCCAGUCGUCUUCCUCCACCUCUUCAUCACAGGACCUCACCCCGUCUGACCUCGUCCCAUGCCCCGCAAACCAACAACAUUCACUUCCACAGACCUCCACCCAUCUUCAGACAGCAGCUCAGGCAUGUGAACAAGCAAACCCUGAAGAUAAGCUGAGCUCUCGAUCACCUGGAUCUUUAACCGGUACUCCUCAAACAGAACCACUACCUCAGGCCCCCUUAUCCAGAGACACUGUGCUGCCCGCCCUGUUGUUGCCGGUGGUCCGAUUGAUAGACAUUGCCUCCGUCAGAGGAAUCUACCCAACCUUUAAACCCCAUCAAGCAUCUCCAAAUAAUUGUACCAGGUCUAGUAAGAAACAGACCACUUCCACUUCCAGUCCUCAGGUCCUAACCUCUCCACACCGCCAUAUCUCAGGAAGAAAUGUCAUGGCUCAGGGAACAAUGAAAGACUUGUUUACCCAAACAGAAACCAAGGCCCUAACAAAUUCCCAAAACACAAUACGCAAAGUGCAAACAGCUCCUGUAUCUCAGGAUGCAUGUAACUCUACCAGCUGUACACCACAAAGCAGACAGUCUUUUUCCAGACUUUCAAGGAAGUUUAGACGGGCUUGUACUACCACCAGACAUUCACAGGCUCUGGACGGAUUCAGUCAAAACCCUUUAGCUGCCCAAACAACCUUCCGGACAAGUUGUCCACCUUUGCCCGACGACUUCAAUGUAUCUGAGCUUCUUACACAAUAUGCUUCUACCUCUACUUCUCAUUCAGGUACACUGUCCUCUGUUUGUACUGCUAACCAAAUCCCUUUAUCCGAAUCAUCUCGACAAGUUCUCCUUCAGAGUUCCAUCAAACCUCAUCUUCAGACACAUAACAUCAGUCCUUCUCAAUCAAAGACCCUACCGUGCUCCACUGUCAUCUCCUCGCCCACCAACUCUGAUUGCACGGCUGCCAGAUCUGAAACCAGCAGGGUCCAAGGAGCCCAGCUGAGGUUAUCACUAUCCAGUCAGGCCAUGCUGCUUCAGUCCAAGCUGCUAAAGCCCUACGUGAGUCUUACCAGGCUGAGCACUCAGGAGUGUUAUCAGUGGACCAAGGGGAGAUCCUCAAGUUGCUAUGUAGAGUCUGUGGUACAAGGGAGCAAUGGCGACAACGAUGAGGACAGGAGGAAGGAGGAGGAAGAAGAUGAAUAUUCUUUUGAUCUGAACACUCUUUACUCCAGUCAUUCUUCAAGCUGUGACAGCGAGGACUCCCUUGAGUGCGACCCUGACUACAAACCUCGCAAUAAAAAGAAAAGACUUCUCUAUGAGUAUGUGAAUGCAAGGAGCCAAAUUCAUACAUGA
rnacentral:lncRNA from 1 species